AGAGUUCGAUCCUGGCUCAGAUGACCGCCAGGCAUGCUUAACACAUGCAAGUCGACGGGAAGUGGUGUUUCCAGUGGCGGACGGGUGAGUAACGCGCAAGAACUUGCCUUUGGGAGGGGAACAACAGCUGGAACACGUUACUGCCCUGUAGGCUGAGGAGCAAAAGGAGGAAUCCCCGGAGGAGGGCUCGCGUCUGAUUAUUAGUUGGUGAGGCAAUGGCUUACCAAGGCGAUUAGUAGUUAUCCGAGAGGGUGACCAGCCACACUGGGACCGAGACACGGCCCAGACUCCUACGGGAGGCAGCAGUGGGGAAUUCUUCCGCAAUGGGCGAAAGCCUGAGCAAUGCCGCGUGGAGGUAGAAGGCCUAUGGGUCGAACUUCUUUCCCGGAGAAGAAGCAAUGACGGUAUCUGGGGAAUAAGCAUCGGCUAACUCCCAGCCAGCAGCCGCGGUAAUACAGAGGAUGCAAGCGUUAUCCGAAUGAUUGGGCGUAAAGGUCUGUGGUGGUUUUUUAAGUCCGGGUUGUCAAAUCCCAGGGCCUGACCCCUGACAGGCGCGGUGAAACUACCAAGUUGGAGUACGGUAGGCAGAGGGAAUUUCCGUGGAGCGGUGAAAUGCUUAGAGAUCGGAAAGAACACCAACGUAUGAAAGCACUCUGGGCCGACACUGACACUGAGAGACGAAAGCUAGGGGAGCUGAAUGGGAUUAGAUAAUCCCCAGGUCCCAUACGUAAUGAAGCAUACCAAAGGCGCUGUGCGUAUCGACCUGCGCAGUGCUGUAGCUAACGCGUUAAGUACCCCGCCCAGUACGUUCGCAAGAAUGAAACUCAGCGAAUUGAUUGGGCCCGCACAAGCGGUGGAGCAUGUGGUUUUAAUUCGAUGCAAGCGAACCUUACCGGGCUUUUGAUACGCGAAUCCUCUUGAGGGCGCUCUUCGAACGCGGACAGGUGGUGGCUGCCGUCGUCAGCCCAGCCGUGUUGCGUUGGGUUAAGUCCCGCAACGAGCGCAACCGUGUUUAGCUGCUGUUGAGUUUGGGACCGGACCAGACUGCCGGUGAUAAGCCAAGGUGAGAUUGACGUCAGUCAUCAUGCCCUUAUGCCCUGGGCGACACACGCGCUACAAUGGCUGGACAAAGGGUCGCGAUCCCGAGGUGAGCUAACCCAAAACCUGUCCAGUUCGAUUGCAGGCUGCAAUCCUGCGGCUGAAGCCGGAAUCUGUUAGUAAUCGCCGGUCAGCCAGCAUGGCGGUGACCCGUUCCGGCCUUGUACACACCGCCCGUCACACUAUGGAGCUGGCCAUGCCCGAAGUCGUUACCUUAACCGCAAGGAGGGGGGAUGCUGAAGGUAGCCAGGUGGACUGGAGUGAAGUCGUACCGGUAGCCGUACUGGAAGGUGCGUGGU
rnacentral:rRNA from 1 species